rnacentral:rRNA from 1 species
CAGCAGCCAGGGAAUACGUAGGGUGCGAGCGUUAAUCGGAAUUACUGGGCGUAAAGCGUGCGCAGGCGGUUUUGUAAGACAGGCGUGAAAUCCCCGGGCUCAACCUGGGAAUGGCGCUUGUGACUGCAAAGCUAGAGUGCGGCAGAGGGGGAUGGAAUUCCGCGUGUAGCAGUGAAAUGCGUAGAUAUGCGGAGGAACACCGAUGGCGAAGGCAAUCCCCUGGGCCUGCACUGACGCUCAUGCACGAAAGCGUGGGGAGCAAACAGGAUUAGAUACCCCUGUAGUCCCUGUCUCUUAUACC